CCGGACCUGACUGCUAUCGGAUUGGUACUAAGCCAUGCGAGUCAUUGUAGCAAUACAAGGCGGACGGCUCAGUAACACGUAGUCAACCUAACCUAUGGACGUGGAUAACCUCGGGAAACUGAGAAUAAACCGCGAUAGAUCAUUAUGCCUGGAAUGGCUUAUGGUUCAAACAAUUUAUUGCCGUAGGAUGGGACUGCGGCCUAUCAGCUUGUUGGUGAGGUAAUGGCCCACCAAGGCUAUAACAGGUACGGGCUCUGAGAGGAGAAGCCCGGAGAUGGGUACUGAGACACGGACCCAGGCCCUAUGGGGCGCAGCAGGCGAGAAACCUUAGCAAUGUGCGAAAGCACGACUAGGUUAAUCCGAGUGAUUCCUGUUGAAGGAAUCUUUUGUCAGUCGUAAAACCACAGACGAAUAAGGGGUGGGCAAGUCUGGUGUCAGCCGCCGCGGUAAUACCAGCACCUCGAGUGGUCAGGAGGUUUAUUGGGCCUAAAGCAUCCGUAGCCGGCUUUGCAAGUCUCCGGUUAAAUCCAGCUGCUCAACAGAUGGGCUGCCGGAGAUACUACACAGCUAGGGAGCGGGAGAGGCAGACGGUAUUCUGUGGGUAGGGGUAAAAUCCAUUGAUCCAUAGAGGACCACCAGUGGCGAAGGCGGUCUGCCAGAACGCGUUCGACGGUGAGGGAUGAAAGCUGGGGGAGCAAACCGGAUUAGAUACCCGGGUAGCCCCAGCUGUAAACGAUGCAAACUCGGUGAUGCAUUGGCUUAUGGCCAAUGCAGUGCCGCAGGAAGCCGUUAAGUUUGCCGCCUGGGAGUACGGACGCAAGUCUGAA
rnacentral:rRNA from 1 species